UGCUCUUCUAGUAUACUAAUUACAAUUGACUUCCAAUCUAUAGAAUCUGGCGCAAACCCAGAGAAGAGCA
rnacentral:tRNA from 1 species